rnacentral:rRNA from 1 species
UUUUAUAAAUAUAAAAAAAUAAUUUAUAAAUUUAUUAAAUUUAAUUAAUUGUAUUUAAAUAAAAUUUAGAUUUUUGUUAAGGGUAUGAUAAAUAAAAUUUAAAAAAUAAAAAUUUAAAAGAGGAAUUUAUAUUUUAAAUAGUAAAAUUAAUAAUAAGAUAUAUAAUUAAUUUAGGAAAUAAAUUUAUAUUAUUUAAUAAAAAUGAAGUUUUAUUAUAAAAUUUAGGUUAAUUUUGUGCCAGCAGCUGCGGUUAAACAAAAUAAGAGAAAUAUAAUUAAUUUUUAUUUAAUAAAAGGUGAGUGAUUAUUGAAAAGAAUAUAUUUUGGUGAAAUAAAAAUAUUCUAAGAAAUAUUAAUUUUUUAAAAUAAAUAAAACUUGAUAAAGACUAGGAUUAGAUACCCUAUUAUGAAAGAUUAGAAUUUGGUAGUAAAAAUAAAAUAAACCAAAUUUUUAUGGCGGUAUAGAAAUUAAUUAGAGGAAUAAGUUUUUAUAAAGGAUAAUGCUCCAAAGUCUUACUAAUAAUUAAUAACUUAUAUAUCGUUAUUUAUAAAAUAUGUUUUGAAUUAUUUUAUAAAAUAAUUAGAAUUAAUAAAUAAAUUAAAUCAAGAUAUAGUUUGUUUAUUAGGAUAAAAUUUAUUAUAUUAUAUAUUAAUUAACAAUGAUUUUAUUUAAAAAUAAAAUCAUAGAAAAAUUUAAAAGUAAGAUUUUAUAUGAAAAUAAUAAUUCUAUAUGUACAAAUUGCCCGUCAUUUUCAGAUUUAUGAAACAAGUCGUAACAAAGUAAAAGUACUGGAAAGUGCUUUU